AUUGAACGCUGGCGGCGUGCCUAACACAUGCAAGUCGAGCGGCAGCGGGCCCGCAAGGGUGCCGGCGAGCGGCGGACGGGUGAGCAAUACAUAGGAAUCUACCUUAGAGCGGGGGAUAGCCCGGGGAAACCCGGAUUAAUACCGCAUGAUGUCGAAAGACCAAAGUGGGGGACCGUAAGGCCUCACACUCUGAGAUGAGCCUAUGUCGGAUUAGCUAGUUGGCGGGGAACGGCCCACCAAGGCAACGACGGGUAGCUGGUCUGAGAGGAUGGCCAGCCACAUUGGGACUGAGACACGGCCCAGACUCCUACGGGAGGCAGCAGUGGGGAAUAUUGCGCAAUGGACGAAAGUCUGACGCAGCGACGCCGCGUGUGGGAUGACGGUCUUCGGAUUGUAAACCACUGUCGGGAGGGACGAAUACGCCGCAAGGCGGGUGACGGUACCUCCAAAGGAAGCACCGGCUAACUCCGUGCCAGCAGCCGCGGUAAC
rnacentral:rRNA from 1 species